UGCUUCCAAGGAGAUCUUAGUUCCAGAUGAGGCAUAAGUCAUGACAGCAUUUUACCAUGUUAGUGAAUUAUAGAAGAGUCAAUGGACUGAGCCUGAGGAGACCUGAGUUCAAGUCCAGACUCUAUUCCAUUUGGGAGUGAUUUUUACGUAUCAUGUGAGAUUAACUGUAAUAAUUGACAUUCACCCCCUGGAGCUGGGAUAGAAAGCCGAUUUACAGCAUCGCUGAGCAGGAAAAAAGAGAUGGCUGUUGAACAGGAGGCAACAUGCAAUGACAUAAUUAAUUGUUAAUGGAAUUCUAGCCAAAAGGAUGUGGGAGGAGAGGAAGGAGCCACAAAGGGAGAAUCAUGCCUAAGAGUUAACUAUGGUACUCUGAAGCAGAACAGAGGUAUGUGUUAAAUUUUUAUACUGUAAGUAUAAUUCCUUUGAAAAUUUUGAUGUCUCCUGAGAUAUUAUACAAUGACUCAUUAUUGAAAUAAUAUGAAAUAGAAUAAAAAAUGCACUUUGUGACUUCUAACUGACAUGCACUCAUCUCUAUUUCCCCUAAGUCAACAAUUUUAUUUAAUCUACCUUGAAAAGAAAAAACAAAUCUGAAAUUCAAAAGGCUACAAAUUUGGGUCCAGGUCAUACUAGAGCAAGUAAAGGCAGGUAUAAUUUAAUUAAUUUUUAAUUUAUCUCUGGUGGUCACGGUUGUUGGGAGUCAGAUGUGGGGGAUUUGGGCAGCCAUGUGCUGCCAUUGCCAUGGAGAACAGAACUGCCUAAGCUGAUGAGCAGUGAGAAACAGAAUUUAGAGAAGAAACAGGAAGUCCUAGCUACAUGCAGGUCCUGGUUCAUAUGGUUUCUGAGUUGAGCCUUCCUUGGAUUCCAUGAACCAGUUUGCCAGUUAUUUACCUAUUAUCUCUCAGCUUCAAUCAGCCCUUCUGUAUUCUGCAAACUGCAUUUCCCAGGCCCCUCUGCUAGCUGGCUUCCCAUGAGCUUAUAAGAGGCACUAAAGGACAUAAGAAUGCCCAAGGGAAAGAGCCUGUCCUUUCUGUUUUCUGUUUUUGGCAGCAUCUUUGCACUAGUGGCAGUUGGCUGCAGCUUCCAGUGUCUUGGCCCCUGAGUAGCAGCCUUAGCACAGGCCCCCAGAGGCGCCAACAGCAGCUGGAAGGGAGCUGCCUCUUCCUCAGCAAUCUUAGUCCACAGAGCACCUCCCCUGAAAUCCAUGGCCCUGGGAACAUACUCCUUCUAUUCUGUUUCCCCAGCGUUCCCCCUCCUAGAGGAGGUAGUUUCUUCCUGCAGUUACCAUUUCUGAGUUAGUUCAGGGUCCCUUUUUUGCCCUUUCAUGCUUCCAACAUCUGUGAAACUAUUUCCUCUACUAUAUAUGAUUCCCUCAGAUAACUAAGUGUGAUAUUUAUUUUUCUGAGUGAUACAUAAAUAACUCCCCCUUGUCUAGGUAGUUUAAACUAAAUUGAUUUCUUGCAAUCAAAUUGCUCUUGACCAACACAAGUACACUUUAUGGUUACUGAGUAGAACAGCAAAACAAACACAGAGUGUUUUUUACUUGCUUAUUGUCUGUCUCCCUACAAUAGAAUGAAUAUAAAGUGUUGAACUGCUUUAUAUACAUGAUUUUAUUUAAUACUCUCCUUGCUGUGAGGUCGGUGUAUUGAUCAAAGAGGUCUGCUUCAGCAUUCAUUUCUACCCCUUCACAACUCCUGCACACACAUGCAUGCUCAAACACUGUGUUCCCACAGUCACUUAAGCUCUUUCCCUGCCUCUAACAGUGACCAGGUGGGCAGACUUCAUACUUGUUUUUAAGGAACUAGUUUAUUCCUAAUACCAAAGAAGAAAGGACCUCUGCAUGCCAGACUGAAAUGACAUCUAAUUUGUGAGUGAUACUUCCAAAGAAGCAGAACCAAAACUGUGAAUACUGUCUGCAGCCUGGUAGCUCCGAAAGACAGACCUGGGACAAAGGGCGCUGGGAUUUGAAUAGACAGACUGAGGUCCUCGCUUUCCAGAAACUUAUUUUAGUAACUAAGCCUUGCAAAGAAACUUUUGAGGCUCCAAGGCCAGGGAUGGGGCUUUUAUCUCAUUUAACAUAUUAGAGGCAUGAAUCUUUGACCAGAUUACCUCCUAGUUACUAGGAGGUAACGAGGGUAUAGGAAUGAUUAUAGACGGACCCACUGUAAGAUCAUCCACUGGGUGCCAGAGCACUCUGCCUUGAUUCCCGACUCAUACAGAUUCCUUACUGUGCUGUAUCCUUACUGUUCAAUCCAGUAAAGCUUUUGUUAAAGAAAAAAUGUGAUACUCACCUAGCAGGGACCAGUAAUUUGGUGAAGGACCAAGUUAAUGGGUUUUAUUUCACAUUUGUGGAAGCUGAGGCAUAGUUAGAUUAAUUAACUUACCUGGGACCACACAGAUAAGAGGUGAAAGAUCUCGGCUUUGAAGCUAUAUAGCUCCAAAUCUCAUAUAUUUAACCAUUAUAAUGAAUUGUUUUAUCUCCUUCCGAAUGAGAUCAAGAAGUGAUUUCUUUCUAUCCCUUCCCUGUCUUUCACUGUUGCUCUCAGUUUAUAGGGCAUUGCCUUGCAUUGAGCAGAAAUUCAAAGAAUGAAUAUUGAAUAUCAUUCAAUAUUUUGAAUGAGUGUUUUUAAAAAGACACUCUUGAUGAACUUAAUCUUCUUUCCAUUGUCCAAAGAGAUCUUGCUCCAGGGCCUUUGAGGAAUUUUCAAGCAGUUUCUGGGAAGUCAGAUCUCUGCUUUAUCCAGAACAGUUCUGCUGUUUUCUCUGUUGUAUAAUACAUAAUCUGUUUUACAUAAGAUUCAUCUGAGAAGAGACUUCUGCUACGAAAACAAUUUUGAAGAUUCUUGUUAUAGAGAAGACUGUUCAAGCUACCCAAACUACUUCCUUUAUAUAUAUAUUUUUAAUUUUCUUUUACCAAGAUUCCUAAAGAAACAGAUAUUUUCAUACUUUUUUUGACAUUUAAAAAGUUGGGCCAUGAAAUCUUUAGAGGCAGGCCACUGGUAUUAAAAUAUUGAUGGUAGAAAAAAGAGAUAGAAAUUGGUGGUGACAAAGGAGGCACUACAUGAGGAAUAGAAGUUAUGCUCUUACUGCACAUCCUUGGAGAAAACACGAGCCAUGUUCCUGAACCUCUAAAUGUCAUUGCUGUCAAGGAAGAAGCUGCUGCAAUGGUUGGGACAGAGAUUGAUGAAAUCUUAGAGCAGGGGUCCGCAACCCCCAGGCCGUGGACUGGUACCAGUCCAUGGCCUGUUAGGAAAUGGGCCACACAGCAGGAGGUGAGCAUGGGCGAGAGAACAUUACCACCUGAGUUCUACCUCCUGUCAGAUCAGUGGCAGCAUUAGAUUCUCACAGGAGCGCGAACCCUAUUGUGAACUGUGCAUGCGAAGGAUCUAGGUUACGUGCUCCUUAUGAAAAUCUAUCAAAUGCCUGAUGAUGACCUGAGAUGAAACACUUUCAUCCUGAAACCACCUCCCUCACCAACCAGUUCAUGGAAUAAUUGUCUUCCCUGAAACUGGAACCUGGUGGCAGAAAGGUUGGGGACCACUGCGUUAGAGGACCCUGCCAGGCCUGGGUUCUGCUAGAUUCACUUUCUCAUUGCAUUUUGGCUCUGCUCACCUGUCACCUUCACAGAGGGUCAUCCCUGACAUUGCUGUCUAUAAGAAAUGUAUGCAUCUCACAUCAGUCUCCUUGCACUUAUUCUGCAAUUUUUUAAAAAAUUCCAUUUAUCUCUACCUGAAUUAUAUUAUGUUUGUGUUUUUUAUUUAUUGUCUGUCUCCCUACACUAGAAUGUAAGAUCCUUGAGGAGAGACACUUUGUCUCUAGUAUUCACUUCUGUUUUCUCAGUGCUGUAGACAAUCAAUUUUGUUUUCUGUUGAAUGGAUGAGUAAAUAAUUUCCAUAUUUUGAGCUUCUCUUGGGCAGAGCUAAAACUCUACAACUCUGUGCAUUGCAGAAAGGGUUUGGAACAGGCACUGGUCUAUGUUUUUUUUCUUUUUUAGUUCUUUUCUAAGUGAAGCUAAAAAUUACUUUUCCUGUCCAGAAUAUUAAGUUUACACCAUGCCUCCAUAUUCACAACUAAUGGGGAGAUAGAAAUCCUUAGAAAUUAUAAAGUUAAUUUUUACUUAUAUUUAUAAGUUUCUUAAGGAAAUCGCCUGAUAUUCUCAGGCAUUGUAAAGCCUCAUUUAUUUAGCUCUCAUAAAUUACACCUCUCUACACAUAAGAAUGGGGUUUUAGCCAAAUUCUACCAGAUGUACAAAGAAGAGCUGGUACCAUUCCUAAAGAAACUACUUCAAAAAAUUGAGGAGGAGGGACCCCUCACCAACUGAUUAUAUGAGGCCAAUGUCAUUCUGAUAUCAAAACCUGGCAGAGAUACAACAAGAAAAGAAAACUUCAGGCCAAUAUCUUGAUGGACAGUGAUUCAAAAACCCUCAACAAAAUAGUUGCAAACCAAAUCCAGCAGCACAUCAAAAAGCUAAUCCACCAUGAUCAAGUAGGCUUCAUCCCUGAGAUGCAAGGUUGUUUCAACAUAUACAAAUCAAUAAAUGUUAUUCAUCACACAAAUAGAACUAAAGACAAAAAUUACAUGAUUUUCUCAAUAGAUGCAGAAAAAGCUUUCAAUAAAAUUUAACACUCUUUCUGUAGUCCCAGCUACUCGGGAGGCUGAGGCAGGAGAAUGGCGUGAACCCGGGAGGCGGAGCUUGCAGUGAGCGGAGAUCGCGCCACUGCCUCCAGCCUGGGCGACAGAGCGAGACUCCGUCUCAAAAAAAAAACAAAAAACAAACAAACAAAAAUUAACAGUCUUUCAUUUAAAAACUCUCAACAAGCUAGGUAUUGAAGGAACAUACCUCAAAAUAAUAAGAGUCAUCUGUGACAAACCCACAGCCAACAUUAUACUGAAUGGGCAAAAGCUAGAAGUAUUCCCCUUAAAAGCCAGCACAAGACAAGGAUGCCCUUUCUCACUACUUCCACUCAAAAACAUCAUGAUACUGGUACAAAAAUAGGAACAUACACCAAUGGAACAGAAUAGAGAGCCCAGAAAUAAGGGUACACACCUAUGACCACCUGAUGUUUGGCAAAGCUGACAAAAACAAGCAAUGGGGAAAAGACUCCCUAUUUAAUAAAUGAUGCUGGAAUAACUGGCAAACCAUAUGCCAAAGACUGAAGCUGGACCCCUUCCUUACACCAUAUGCAAAAAUCAACUCAAGAUGAAUUAAAGACUUAAAUGUAAAACUCAAAACUAUAAAAACCCUGGAAGACAACCUAGGCAAUACCAUCCUGGACAUAGGAACGGGCAAAGCUUUCAUGACAGGACACCAAAAGCAAUCGCAACAAGAGCAAAAAUUGACAAAUGGGAUCUAAUUAUACUUAAGAGCUUCUGCACAGCAAAAGACACUAUCAACAGACUAAACAAACAACCUACCGAAUGGGAGAAAAUUUUUGUAAACUAUGCAUCUGACAAUGGCCUAAUAUCCAGCAUCUAUAAUAAACUUAAACAAAUUUAUAAGAGAAAAACAACCUUAUUAAAAAGUGGGCAAAGGACAUGAACAGACACUUUUAAAAGAAGAAAUAUAUGUGGUCAACAAACAUAUGUAAAAAAGCUCAAUAUCACUAAUCAUUAGAGAAAUGCAAAUAAAAACCAUAGUGAGAUACCAUGUGACACCAGUCAGAAUGGCUAUUAUUAAAAAGUCAAAAAACAACAGAUGCUGGUGAGAUUGUGGAGAAAAUGGAACACGUAUACAUUGUUGGUGGGAGUGUGAAUUAAUUCAACCACUGUGGAAAGCAGUAUAGUGAUUCCUCAAAGAGCUAAAAGCAGAACUAUCAUUCGACCCAGCAAUCCCAUUACUGGGUAUAUAACUAGAGGAAUAUAAAUCAUUCUACCAUAAUGACACAGGCACACAAAUGUUCAUUGUGGCACUAUUCACAAUAACAAAGUCAUGGAAUCAACCUAAAUGCCCUUCAGUAACAGACUGGAUAAAGAAAAAUGUGGUAUAUAUAUACCAUAAAACACUAUGCAGCCAUAAGAAAAGAACAAGAUCAUGUAUUUUGUGGGAACAUGGAUAGAGCUGAAGGUUAUUAUCCUAAGCAAACUAAUGCAGGAAGAGAAAAUAAAAUAUCACUUAUAAGUGGCAGCUAAUUGAUGAGAAUGUGUGAAGAUAAAGAAGGAAAGAACAGACACUGGGUUCUACUUAAGGGUGGAGGGUGAGAGGAGGGAGAGGAGCAGAAAAGAUAGCUACUUGGUAUUGGGCUUAAGUCCUGGGUAAUGAAAUAAUCAAUACAACAAACCCCCAUGAUGUGAGUUUACCUAUGUAACAAACCUGCACAUGUAACCCUAAACCUAAAAUAAAAGUUAAAAAAUAAGAUAAAAUAAAAUGAAAAUAUUACCUACCAGGCAGAUAUACGGUGAAUAUUUAACAAGAUAAUAAUGUAUACUACUUAGUACCUUGAAGGCCAGUUUAUAUUUGAAAUAUAGUUAACUUUUCUCCACCAUCAGCUGGCAUGCCUAAAUUGUGUUAUUUCAAAUGCUGGUUUUCCUGGGUACUAAUAGUGCUGUAUAUAAAAUGAUUCCAUGGUCAAAUACAAAAAAAAAAAUGAGGCCUCAUUCCUUUAUCCUUUCUAACAUCUUUGGCUAGGCACAAAAGGAUUUCCUUGGUCCAGGAUUUGAUAUCUCACAAAUGGAAAGAUAUGAUUUCUCAUUUUGUGAGUGAGGAGGAAGACUGAGAUACUGAUAAUUCUCUGCUUUUAAAUUACUUUAUUAAAAACAAGAUCUGUGACUGAUGACACAUCAUAAAUUAUCUAAGAGCCAACACUCCUCACCUAAUAAAUAUUAUUUUUUUCUAAGAUAAUUUACAUUUCUUAUGAGUUAUGAAGAUGACAUAUUUGUCUUAUUUAUAUUACUUUUGACCUUAUUUGAUACAAAAAGUAAUCCAGGCAGGAUAUUGUUAAGAAGUAGUUGGUUUAUUUCCAAACCUGCUUAUGUUAUAGGACCUGUUAUAUUAACUUAGAAAGUCUAUAUCUGGACCAGAUCAACCAGCUCUAA
rnacentral:lncRNA from 10 species